rnacentral:rRNA from 1 species
UACGUAGGGUGCAAGCGUUGUCCGGAAUUAUUGGGCGUAAAGAGCUCGUAGGCGGUUUGUUGCGUCGGCUGUGAAAACCCGAGGCUCAACCUCGGGCCUGCAGUGGGUACGGGCAGACUAGAGUGCGGUAGGGGAGAAUGGAACUCCUGGUGUAGCGGUGGAAUGCGCAGAUAUCAGGAAGAACACCGAUGGCGAAGGCAGUUCUCUGGGCCGUAACUGACGCUGAGGAGCGAAAGCGUGGGGAGCGAACAGG